GUAGGUGAACCUGCGGAAGGAUCAUUAAUGAGAGGGGUCUCUUCGACCCCGGGAGCUUCGGCGCCCAACUCUUCACCCCUUGCUCAUAUACACCUAUUGCUUUGGCGGGCUCUGGGGCUUACCCCCGCCGGCUCACGCUGGUGCUUGCCCGUCAGAGGCCUAGCGAACUUCGUCUAUUAGUGUCGUCCGAGCAUAAAUACAAUAGUAAAAACUUUCAACAACGGAUCUCUUGGUUCUGGCAUCGAUGAAG
rnacentral:misc_RNA from 1 species